UGAGGUGGCCAAAUCCACACCCACCAGUGGCAUGCAGCCCCAUGAAGCUCCUGUCCAGUUCCAGGUGACACUAGUAUAGGAAGGGAAGCACAAAAGGUUUUGCACUACUUAACUAUGUUACUGCCUGCAUUCCAUUGUCUUUGUCCUAUAGAGCUCAUCGUGAACUGUUGAGAGCCAUACCACCCUUCCUUGGAUAAUCGCACCUUGGUUUGCACUGCUUGUUCAUGCUACUGCAUGAUAAAGAAAUGGUACCAAGAAUUGUUUUUAGGAAAGUUAGCUGAAGUGGCAAACAUUUGACUGAUUUGAGAAAUCUCACACACCAAACCAAAGGCAUCGCAACCUAAGUGAGAAGAGGGCAAAGGGCUUCUGUUUACUUGAAAAGAUGAACCACAAGAGCAGAAACUUUUUCUGCAGAGACGAACUAGGAGGUGACACUCAGUGGCAGAGGAAGGAUUUCUAUUUCUGGCACUACCUUAAGGCAACAAAGGAAACAUAAUAGCAACAGUAGUCCAAUUUAAUGAGCAGGCCUACAGAUGAAGCUACUGACAUCUAACAGGAAGAACAACCACCAUGAGCUAGUAGACAUCCUAGAGAACAGCUUUUUUGCCACUGCCUGAUGGGCU